UGAAUCUCUCAUCCCUUUGGCUCUGAUCUGAAGAGACUGUGGAUUGAGUGACCGGAUGAGACCCUCGGCCCUUCCAGGCCUCCUACAGGUUCCCCGGUGUGGUUGGUAUUUGCUGCAAACGGCACUUCAGUGCGAGUGUUAUUUUUCUCACUGAAGAGGCGGGUUCGGGUACGGGAUGAGAUUUAUGUAGGGUUUUCUUCCUGAGAAUAGAAAUCAGAAGGAACAGAUGCUGGCUCUGGGGCUCAGUGCAGAGGGAGCCUGCGGCCUUCACAGAGUCCAGACACGGAGGUGAUGGUGCGUGGGUACUCCUGGGAUGUAGGCGAGGGACCGAGAAGCAGGCUACAGUACUACCCAGUCCACCCUGGGGGAAAGGUAAAAAAAGAAGCAAAAAUAAUUCAACUAAAGUUAACAGAAAAAGAGCAAAAAGAGUAAGAAAGAGAAAAAUUGUAAUGCAGGGAGGAGAGAAGCAGAUGGGAAGUGAAGCGAUUAUUUUUAGGAUGGCUCCAGUAUGGGAAGCCAAGGCAUCGUGGGAAUAAGCAUGAGAUAACCCAAUUUAUGCAGCUAUUUUUAAAAAGUCAGCAUCAUCUUUAAAAAUGGUCAAAGCACUGGGUGGGCUUUAAUCAGCACUGAAGGCUGUGCAAAGUCCCACAGUGUAAGCCGCCCACGGCCCCUAGAAAUACAACCACGACUCGGUGACACUGGACCACGGGAAUGACCGCCCAGGCUCGUGGGGCAGCUGGUGGGACGUGCUCACCACCGGGCUGUCGGGCUGUGGGAUGAAGGAGGGCGUCCCCUGACAGGACGAGCAGAGCGUGGGCUCUCAGCUCCGGCAGAACCUCUGCCAAUAGCCAUCACCCGGGGCAAGAACAGAGAAGAAAGCAAGGAUGACAGAUUCUCUCCUGCUGCAGGAAUCCCUGAGGGCAGCUAAGGACGGCAACCGGAGCCCCAGCAAGGGGAAGGGCCUCGAGGCCUCUGAAGAGGGGGCAGAAAUGAAUAUGAUUGUCUGUGUUCUGCCGAUGAGAAAACUGUAAGAAUCUAUAAGAAAUGUAAAUUUAUAUCAUUCCCCAAGGCAGGUAAAUGGUCCCAAUAACCAAAUGCAAGGGACCGGACCUCAAAGCCACUUCUCCUUUGCACUCCUUUGCCCCUGGAGGACCUUCCCCUCAUUGCAAACUGGACAUUUUAAGCAUAAUCGGGCUGCUCCAGCAUGAUGCCGCUAAGAAAAGGACUGAUUUAUUCUGACCGUGGUUAGUUUUGAAAAGGUACAGAUUAACAAGCAAACAAAAAAUAGCAUCACCAGAUGGUCGCGGGGAUUCUCACGGCCCAUUGAAGACAGUCACCAGAGCAGGCAGCUAGUUCUGUGCCAAGAACCCUUAGAAGGACCAGCUUGGGGUUGACGCUUGGCUUUUAUCGCCCCCCAGGGGCCCUGGGACGGUUUCUCAGCAUUUCUAGACCUGGACUUCCGGAUCCAUAAAGUGUGAACAUCACAGAGCUGUUGGGAGGAUGACAGGACAGGAGGGCGUCGAGCCUAUAGCGCAGGGGCUGGGGAAUGAGCCGGGGUUUGUAUUUUGGGCGAUUGUUCUGGGGACGCUUCCCUGCUUGAGGAACGGUCAGUGUUCUGGGGCUCGUGGGUACUUGGGAUUUCAUAAAACGCUCUCUAUGCCUCUGAUUAUUGUGUGGAGGAUAUUCACUCAUCUAAUCUGUCCUAGAGCCUCGGCAAAGACUGACCCUAGCAGUAAACAAUGAGUUGAGUUGAGUUAAGAGCUAAAGCGCAGUCUUGUUGUUUUGUAAAUUCUCAGUUGCUUUGGAUGCAAAGGUCAAGGUCAGUCUUGAGAUCUCAGCCAAGGUGACCCAGCAGGAUGCUCCUGGAGACGUGGAGGGGUGUGUCCUACGGGGAGAAAUCUAUCAAACUCUUGGUCUAAUUCCUCCCAAAAUAUGCUCUCAGACCCGUUGAAUGGCCUGUACCCUCCUUCCAUCCUGACCAGUGUGUUGAGAACGAAGACACCCAGGACGAUAGUUCAGGAAUGUUCCCUGUCGGCAUGUUCUGGGCACUUCCGUGAGGCAAAGAGUGUUCCUUCGUGAGCACCAGCAGGUCCAAGGAUCCACGUUCUUCAGAUCAUGGCACAGAGCUGGCUUGUCACAAAUGUUCAGGGUCUGGAAUCAUCUCUCCAGGCCAGGAUGGGGGCCCCAGUCCUGUGCACACCCCACCUCAGUCCCCUGGAUGUCAGGGCCCCCAAUUACCCUUGAUGGGAACAGCUCGGGCAGCUUUUCCUUCAAGAGGGCCCUUUUCCUGCCAAGUCUGUCCUUGCAUCCUGGGACCUUCAAGCCCAAAUCUGGAAUAACUCUUUGCAGACACAGUGAAAGUGAAUAUGUCUAGAGUGAUUUACGCGUCUGUUUGAACUUACAUUCCUAUGUUUCGCUGCUUGCUGUGGGCAAGAAUUUUCUGAUGGCUUAUGAUGAACAGAGUUUAUAUUAGAAGCUGCUGUUUACUUUCUGAGACAUGAAGUGGUAAUUUCAUUAAGGGCUUUCAUUAGAUCUUGGUAACUUGCAAAUUUUCUCCAGUUUCAUUUGCAUACAGAACGUUAUAAAUAUAAAGGGAAUUCUGGAUUUGUCAUUUAAAGAAAGAUCCAAAAUUGCAGAAUUGAGAUGGAUAACAUUGUUUUUAUAUAUGUACAGAUUGUCGCAAAGGUGUUCGUUAAAGUUUCCAUGGGAAGAGUCCGUGCUCCUUAGUCGUGAUAUAAGUGGUUUCAAUGAUCUCACAAGCUUAUCCAUUAUCUUCAAGCAGGAAAUUUGUUUCUAAGCUCACCCUCAAGUCAUUGCAAAAUAUGAUGGGAGGAGAUCAAAAGGAACCGAGGCACAGAACCAUGAGACUGGUUUCAAAGGCCCUGCCUGUUUCCAGGACAAGGUUCCUUUCAUGAGGAAGCUUGCUGGAUAAUAAAGUAUAUGUACAGCUUCUCUGUCAGGAAUGAAUUUGGGGGAGGGUACUUUUCAGUAGUAAAAUGACUACAGUGGCACCAUAAUUUUAACAAAAUUAAGGAAAUAAUUAAACACAUUUUAUGCUAUGAGCUUUUCUGGAAAUUUCCUUUUUGUUUGUCACAUUGUGACUCAGUAACUCAAUGCUGGAAGGGUCUCGGGGCACUGUGAGGAAAAAGUGGGAAUUGGAGACUAUUUGCUGUUAGGUAUGGAGUACAAGGAUACAAUAGUGAUUCAGCCAAAAAAAACUCACUAGCAAAUUUAUACCUCCAGUGAAGCUGAGUUCAUUUCACAUAACAGAGCCUGCUUCAUAAGCUUAUGUAAAGAUUAAAUUGUUAAUAAAUACAACUAAAAAUUAAGAAUGUAAUAUUAAAAUUUUAAUAAAGACUGAAUCGUUCGUAAA